UGCUGGCCACAUGUGACCAUUGGUUUUGUGUUGUUAUAAACCUGGUCGAAAAGCGAAUUGAUGUCCUUGAUUCAAUGAACGUAAAAACUGAUGAAAAGACCUUAGCUAUUGCAGAUGUGGUAUCGGCGCUCUUUUCUGUUUUGAAGCGGACAAGGCCAAUGGAAUAUCCAUGGAAGAAUUGGAUUAUCCACCACCCAAAUGUCCCACAGCAAAAGAACAUAUUCGAUUGUGGGUUUUAUACCUUAAGGUUUAUAGAGCACUAGACUGGGGGAAGGAUGAAUACACGUGAACUAGAGGCUAACAUGGGUAUUGAUAUGCGAAUGAGGCUACUCGUACGGUUUAUAUUAUCCCCGCACAACAAGAGGCGAGAUGAUGUACUGCAGAAGUGCAGAUAAAAAUUACCGGGUACAACGGAAGCAGAAGUGGUUGUAAAAUGGCACUGCAUGAGCAGAUGAAAGGAUUUCGUAUGCACUGAUUUUUGUUAACUAUUUAUAAUGUGUUUUGUCCAGUAAGUUGGUGUUUGAAUUUGAACAAUAGUAAGACAGUUAGUGAUUGUUUUGUCCAGAUGAUAGUAGGUGCUGGUUUGUGGGUACAGUGAAGUGGUGUUGAAGAUAGGUUACAGGAAGGUAGGUUACAGAGUAGUCAGAUAGAAGGGAGACAGAUAAUGACAGUAGUAAGGAAAUGUGGGUGGUUGUGGGGUUGGUUAGUGCAUGGGUGGAGUAUUUCAUUUCUGGUGUUGGUGCACUAUUGUGGGUGGUCUAAAUCAGUCCAACCUCCAUCAUAAACAACUUUAUGAAAAAGGGUAGUUACCAGAUAAAGGAUUAG